CUCUCUUUUUCUUCUUCUUCUUCUUCUACGUACCUACUAUUUUUCUUCUUCUUCUUCUACGUACAUACAGAGUUCACUGUGAAUUCCGAUGAUGAUGAUGAUGAUCCAUCCAUGUAGAGAGAGAGAGAGACAUAUUGAAAUCAAAGCAAACGAGGCGAUAUGAUGAUUGGUGAUCCGUAAGGCCUAAAUCAAUAUCGAUUCAUUGAAUCUAGUCACCAGAGACUUAGGGCGAAUUUCAAAACUCAAAAGUGAAAGAGAGGAAUCGAGCGAGGUAUUUCGUAAUAAUCUUCUUGAUUUGAAUAUGAAACCUAGACUUUGUUAUAUACUCGUUGUGGAUAGAGAUGAUUUUUGUGAAUGGUUUAAUUAGAGAUGAUGAUGUUUAGUGUCUGAGAAUGAUGAAUACCUAAUUGUACAAAUCAAACCCCAUACUUUGUUGUGGAUAAGACUAGGAAGUUGUUUGUUUGGAUUCACACAGAUAGCCUCGUAGAGAAGUUGCAACCAUGUCUGUGUAGCAUCUCGUCUUAUUGCUAAACAACUAACGAUUAGGGAAAAAGAAGUUGGUUACAACGUUCCCAGAACCGUGCUUAAAUGGUGUUGUGUCUACAUACGUCAUUGAACCACGAAGAAUUCGUGUUGAGUCAUUGUUGGUAAGGCAGAGAAGAGUUGUUACAGGCUUUAUACAGAGGAGUAAGCAAGUAAUGACUUGCAGCCCUUGGAUUCACCACAUAUGGCAAAGAUGCUCAUAGUGACUCCUCAAUUCAAUUGCUCAAACGAGAUUAUCUCUGUUUCAUCCCUUGUCUCAGUAUUAGAGUUAGGUGUUAUCCCCAGCAUUCUCUAGUCUGGGUUCUGCAUACCCUUGGUUAGGGGUAUAUCCUAAGUAAGUGUUGAUGCAGAUAAAUACUAGUUGCAGUUUCUCAGUUAUUCUCUCUCAUGUGGCAAAUGGUAUCAGUAUCAUCGCCUCUAUGCAUCUGCUGACGACCUAUUCCAUUGACCUCCUUUGUUAUAAACACCAAUUCUUUCUCUGCUUUAUUCGGCUUAGAGAGGCUCAAAAAGCAGCAGAUGCUAGGUUUGGACACAUUGAUGGUUGUCUACCAUGCUUUUAAGCAAAACAUCGAUGAAGAUCCCAAUUGGUGCUGUGAAAACUUGCAUCAAAAUCUGCAGGCAAUGUUAGACGGUAGCUAGCCCGGAUAAUGUCAAGAUUCAACUUGAAGAGGUGCAGCACUCAUUUUAACUACUAUAUGAAUGUAAGCAAGACCUCACUUAGAGCGCAAUGGCCAUUAUUUGACAGCCAAAGACAACCAAGUGGUUCAUUUGCAUCCAUCAAAUUUCUUGGAUCACAAACCUUGGCGGGUAAGUUCUUUUCAUAUCUCCUCAUGAAGCUUUGUCCUCGAGAAGCUUUGUAAGAAGAGAGAAAGGAACAAUCAUAUCCUCAUAUGUCAACGUUUAAAUCUACUUGGACAAGAGAAGCAAUCCGUAAGAGGAGGAUUAAAUGGUGAAUUGAGGUAGCUGCUCCCUCUCAUUUGUGGUUUUAAAUAUCAGAACAACCACCAAGUCGCCUCAGGAUGCUCAAGAGUCAAGACAUCACAGCCUUGUAGUUGCAAUCUACAUAGAAACUAACCAUGUGUUCGAUGAAGGCAAAAACAUACUGUCAAAUUGCAGAUAUCGUCACCCACCAUAAUCAAAUUUCUAGCUUACAGUCCAAGAGUAACUACACAAUAUAUUGUUCGCAUCUUGAAGGGGGACAAUUGGAGUAAAUAGUUCACUGUUACAUUUAUUUAAUCUGGUUAACUUAGUAUACUUGUAUUCAUCAACUUGUAAAGAUUUACAUCUUUAUAUUUUUCAUAUAUCUGAUUUGUAAUAUACACCUUCUAACAUGGGUUUUUUUUUAUUAUUGUUA